rnacentral:rRNA from 1 species
GACGUAGGGCGCGAGCGUUGUCCGGAUUUAUUGGGCGUAAAGAGCUCGUAGGCGGCUUGUCGCGUCGACUGUGAAAACCCGCGGCUCAACCGCGGGCCUGCAGCCGAUACGGGCAGGCUAGAGUUCGGAAGAGGAGAGUGGAAUUCCUGGUGUAGCGGUGAAAUGCGCAGAUAUCAGGAAGAACACCCGUGGCUAAGGCGGCUCUCUAGUACGGUACUGACGCUGAGACGCGAAAGCGUGGGGAGCGAACAGG